UGGUGUUGGCUAGUGUUUCUAGUUGAGUUAAAUUAUAACUCUGGGGGAAGGGGAGAAUCUGAUAAGUGAUCAAAAUCCAAUCAGUUGGUUGGAUUAGCUAAAUUGUUUUGCACGUUCCUCUUACCCUUUAGUUUCUUUUAUCUUUUGUUUUGUUUUUUUUCUUUUUUUUUUCUUUUUCGUUCCUUUCACAUUCAGCCAUUCAUGUUCUUUUGUUUUUGUGCCUUCUUCGUUAAUGCUCUUUUCGUGCUCCC
rnacentral:lncRNA from 1 species